UACAGAGGGGGCAAGCGUUGUUCGGAAUUACUGGGCGUAAAGCGACCGCAGGCGGCCUGACAAGUCGGGUGUGAAAGCCCUGGGCUCAACUCAGGAAUUGCAUUCGAAACUGGUAGGCUCGAGUACGGGAGAGGGGGGUGGAAUUCCUGGUGUAGGGGUGAAAUUCGUUGAUAUCAGGAGGAACACCGGCGGCGAAGGCGGCCCCCUGGCCCGCAACUGACGCUCAUGGUCGAAAGCGUGGGGAGCAAACAGG
rnacentral:rRNA from 1 species